rnacentral:rRNA from 1 species
GCGUAGGAAUCUACCUGGUAGUGGGGGACAACAGUCGGAAACGGCUGCUAAUACCGCAUACGCCCUAUGGGGGAAAGCGGGGGACCUUCGGGCCUCGCGCUAUCAGAUGAGCCUGCGUUGGAUUAGCUAGUUGGUGGGGUAAAGGCCUACCAAGGCGACGAUCCAUAGCUGGUCUGAGAGGAUGAUCAGCCACACUGGGACUGAGACACGGCCCAGACUCCUACGGGAGGCAGCAGUGGGGAAUAUUGCGCAAUGGGCGAAAGCCUGACGCAGCCAUGCCGCGUGUGUGAAGAAGGCCCU